GUAAAUACCCUUUAUUAUUCUUCGAAAUGUAAGGAAGCAUUAAAAAAGAAAGGGCAGACUAAGGUAAAAAGGACAAUAGAAUCCUGCUUUAAUAGUAUAGAUACUAAAACACAUAUUUAAAAUCUAUAGAUGUAAACCUUACAUUUUGGGAGGAGAAGAGAACAACCAUAGAAGAAAAUACCUGCAAAAUAAGAUACAAUUAUUAAAAAACAUAGAAAAUAAAAUUAAUGUCAUAUUUUUGUAGACUGCUUAAACUUGUGGGUUUAGUAAACUUCAUAUGAAAUCUACUAGAUUUAGUUUAUAAGCAGACUUCUUUAGAAGAUUAAUUUUCAGAUCUGAAAAAAUAUAUACUUUUUGAAAUGUGAAAAUAAUUUUAAAUCUGAAAAUACUUUACAAUAUAGAAUUUAUAAGAUAAAAUAGUAGCAAGUUAAUGCACAGAGCUUGAUCUAUAAAUUUAUUUGAAUAUAAACAUAUAAAUACAUAUUUAAAAUCUAUUAAUCUAAAUCUUACAUUUUUAGAGGAGAAGAUGAAAUCCAUGAGUGAUAAUACCUACAAAAAAAAAAGAUAAUAUUGUGAGAAAUAAAUAACAUAAAAAUACACAUUUAAAAUCUAUAGAUCUAAACUUACAUUUUUUAAAGGAGAAGAUGAAAACCAUGAAUUAUAAUACCUAAUAUGUCAAGAUAAUAUUGUGAGAAAGACUUGAGAAAAUUUUAGAGAGAAAUAAAAGAAAUGAGAGAGUUUUAGAGAGAACAGAGAGAAGUUUAGAGAGAAGGGAGAGAGUUUUAGAGAGAAGUAAGAGAGUUUAAAAAACUUGUGCAGCCACUAUAGAGAGAGAGUGUAUAAAUUUUAUUUAUAUAUAGAGACAAAAAUGUAACCAGGUUAAAAUUUAUCAGACUGUAGACUUCUUUUUGAAGUCUACUAAAAUUAAAAUUUUAGAGUAGAUUUUACCGUAAUAUAGUAGACUUUUUUGAAAGUCUGCUAUACUAUAAUAAUUUCAUUAUUGUUGCUUAUUCUUUAUUAUUUUAAUAAUUUUAAUAUAUGAUUUACUAAAUUUAUUUCUUUAUUUUUUAAUAGUUAUAGUAUAUGAUUUCACUAUUUUACUCUUAAGGAACUCAACUAAUUAGUUUAAAUAUAAUGAUUUUUGUAAAAAAAAGUUGAAAAAUGUAGACUGAAAAAGAUGUCACCACCUAAAUAGACUUUAUUGUAGGUCUACGAAACCCUAAACCACAAAUCUCAAACCCUAAAUGUUCUGCUUUAUAAUAAAAAGGUCUUAAUUAUUGUAUCAAAUAUCAAAUUAUACAAAAUAUAAAAUACUAAACAUUAAUAUACAAAUUUAAGUCAAUAAAAAAAAUCUAAAUCUAAAUCUAACCCUAAGAAAUCUACCACUAGAAUACAUAACAUGUUAUAACAUUUUGUUUCUAAACCAUAUUGUCUAACACAUGGUUACCAAAUUAGAAGAUAUUCUUUAAAGUUGUUCAAUUAUAUAAAAUUGUAAUUUAUUUACUUCAUAUUGAUCAUUAUAUUGAGGGCUUUUUGAAAAAGUGACUCAAAACUUGAAGUCAAACAGAAAACUAACAUUUUCUUUUGACUCCUUUUUUUUUUGAGAUUUUAACCCCACACCUGCAUUUUAUCUACGAAAAUGCCAUUAACAUUUUUUUUUCUUUUUUUCGAAAAUGGCUUCUUUACUGUCUCAACCUCAUCUUCUUCAAGUAUUUACAAUAUUGCCACUGCAAUGAAUAGUGGCAACAACCUUGUACGAACUGUUUGGAGCUUUUAAUGCCCUUUAAUGCACGUAAAUCUCUUUACACUCUCUCUGUUUCAAUUGUUAUGAACUAAAAACAACAUUUCUUUCACUUUCUCUCUAUAUUCAUCCAAAAAACUCAAGCUUUUGAUUCAAAAUAUGGGCUAUGGUUGACAGAGCCAUAUUUCUUUCGUUUUGACUUACGGUUGCUUUCGUUUGAGGUUCUGGGUGGUUGGAGAAGACCCUGUGUGCAAACGAAGUCAUCUCACCUAGUUUAAGGUACGAAUUUGAAUUUUUUUUCAAGAUCUGUUCGCGUAGAAGACUUACUAGUAAGUCAUCUGUAUGUAGAAGACUUACUGAUGAGUCUUCUGGUCAAACGGACGACUUAAAUUAAGUCGUCCAGCUUUGUUUGUUAAAAAAAACACUCCAGACGACUUAUAUAUACGUCGUCUACGAGAAACGGGCUAGUUUUGCAUUUGACCGAAUCGUGUCAGAUCUUUGACUAUUUCUGGACGACUUAUAAUUCAGUCGUCUCUGGGAAAGUUAAAAUUUCAAUAUUUUAUGAAAACUUGACGACUUACGUGUAAGUCGUCCUAGGUUAGUUUUGUAAUUGAAAAAUAAAACUUCAUAAUUUAACUUUAACCAGACGACUUAAUAUAAAGUCGUCCCUCCAGAAGACUUAAUUUAAAGUCGUCCGGGGAAAGCAAAGUCGUCCAGAAUUUUUCCCAAUUUUCUGGUCAAACCUUGCUUAUCCCGGACGACCUUAAAUUAAGUCGUUUAGCUGGACGACUUUCAUCUAAGUCGUCUGGAGAAAGUUAAAUUUCAAGUUUUAUUUUUCAAUUACAAAACUAACCUAGGACGACUUACACGUAAGUCGUCAAGUUUUCAUAAAAUAUUGAAAUUUUAACUUUCCCAGAGACGACUGAAUUAUAAGUCGUCCAGAAAUAGUCAAAGAUCUGACACGAUUCGGUCAAAUGCAAAACUAGCCCGUUUCUCGUAGACGACUUAUAUAUAAGUCGUCUGAAGUUUUUUUUUUAACAAACAAAGCCGGACGACUUAGAAUUAAGUCGUCCCUUUUAAUUUUCAAUUGCAAAAGUGACCUCUUUAGACGACUUACCUUUAAGUCUUCUGGACGACUUAAUGCUAAGUCGUCUGCGGCAAUGUUUAUUGAACUUCUUCAUUUUCUCUAUGUUUACUAAUGUGUUUUAUUUUGAAUAUUUGCAGAUGAUUUUUCAGUUACAUGCAGUGUAUGGAGAAUGGUUGUUGAGAGAUUUCCGUUGGGAUUUUGUGGUUGAUGAUCUCAAAGGAGCAAGAUUGUUUUUAUUGAAUGAAGAUUCAACACAUGCUGAACUUGUUGCAAUGGCUCAAGAAGAUUAUAACCUGGACAUGAGAACAGUGAGUGUGGAGAUUAGCUACUCAUUACCAGCAGAAAUGAUGAUGGCUCCAGGCAGUCUUCCCAUUCAUGUUACAAGUGAUAGACAAGUUCGAAACUUGCUGGAGAUACUCAAAACCCAUAGAGUAUGUCUUUGUGUAUCAAGCCGCAGCAAGGUCGAAACGGUUUCAGAGAAAAGGGAUAUUGAUGAAGCUGGUGAAUGGGAAAAAGAUGUUGGUGAUAAUGAUGAAGCUGGUGAAUGGGAAGAAGAUGUUGGUGAUGAUGAUGAAGCUGGUGAAUGGGAAGAAGAUGUUGGUGAUGAUGAUGAAGCUGAUGAAUGUUUUGAAGAUGUUGGUGAUAAUGAGUUUGUUGAAGAUGAAAAUCAAGAUGGGGAGGAGGAAAAUGGGGAGGAGGAUGCUGAUAAUUCUAUUGUUGGUGAAACGGAUCAGAAUGGUGGGGAUUACAGUCUUUAUGGAAAGGUUCCAGAUGAGGACGAGGAAGAUGAUGAUAAUAUUUGUUUUGAAGAAAUCCAAAAGACAUAUGCUAAGACAAAUGCUAUUGAAGGAGGAAAAUCGAAUGGUACCAGUAUCUAUGUCAACCAGAGUUUUGUUAGCAAGGGUGCACUGCUUUCAGAGCUGCGGUUGGCAGCAGUGAGGGGUAAGUUUUCUUUCAGAUUAUACAAAUCAACGAAAACUCUCGUUGUGGCAACAUGUCCGGUUAGCUAUUGUGGAUGGAAGGUCAGAGCGAGUGUCAAACAUGGGACAAACACGUUUUGGGUAACAAAGUAUGUGGAAAAACAUUUAUGCUCAGCGGGAGACCGAAUCGCUCAGCGGAGACACUGUACUCCGAAGUAUGUAGGUAGUCUUUUCAUUGAUCGUGUUGGAAUCAUUGAUGGGAUAACUCCGCAGCAUAUCACUGAUGCAAUGAGGAACAUGUUUGGCAUGGCGCUUGAUUACACCACUUCAUACAGAGCACUGUUAUAUGCACAAAGAUUGGUGAGAGGAUCAGCAGAAGAAGGGUAUUCGCGUCUGGCAUCAUAUCUCGAGCAAAUCUCCAUUGCAAAUCCUGAUUCUAUCACGGCGAUAGAACUUGAUUCUAUGAAAAGAUUUAAGUAUCUAUUUCUCUCUUUUGGAGCUUCUAUCAAAGGUUUUAAGUAUCAGAGAAGGGUCAUUGUGGUGGAUGGAACUCACCUAAGUGGAAAGUAUGGAGGAACUAUGUUAGUUGCAGCCGCACAAGAUGGCAAUUUUCAGAUAUUCCCAUUGGCUUUUGGGAUCGUGGAUGAGGAAGAUAUACCUUCUUGGGAAUGGUUUUUCACAAAAUUGGCUAGUUGUAUAUCUCAUGACAAGCCUCUGGUGAUAGUCUCCGACCGGCACAAGGCCAUUAAAAGUGCGUGUGAUAAGGUGUUUCCUUGGGCAACCCGAGGAAUAUGUUAUUAUCACCUUCAAGAUAACAUUGUCAAAAAGUUUAAAGGGAAACAUCUCAUGUACUUGGUGAAAGGGGCUGCUUAUGCUCACACGGUUUACGAUUUUGACCGGUACAUGGCUGAGAUACGGAGUGCAAACCCGGAACUUGCAACGUAUUUGGAGAAAGCCGACGUCAGGCUAUGGUCAAGGGUUUAUUGUAAGGGGAACAGGUUCAACAUAAAAACAAGCAACAUUGCUGAAUCUAUUAAUUCCGCACUGAAGCGAGCAAGAGGAUUUCCGAUUACGUUCCUGCUGGAGUUCAUAAGGCAGAAGUUAGGAAAAUGGUAUUGGAAAAGGAGACAAGAUGCUUUGAGUCUCACAACUGAACAUAGCGGGGGUGUUGAAUACUUGCUUGCUGUUCGAGAAGAGAUAGCGGGUACGAUGACGGUCGAACCAAUUGAUGGAUGGCAUUUCUUUGUCAAAGGUGGCAAAAUGGACUGUGUGGUUGAUUUGGAACAUGCAAAGUGUGAUUGUGGUGUCUAUGGAGUGGAGAAAAUACCUUGCUCUCAUGCUAUAGCUGCUGGAAUACAUGCUGGUUUGCAUAUCUCCACACUUGUAUGUCCACUGUACUCAAAGAAUUAUCUGUAUGCAGGAUACUCAGAGAAUAUAUAUCCUAUCGUGUCACAACAUAUUGAGGAACGAGAAUGCUUUCCUCCAGAACUAAAGCGUGGUCGGGGGAGACCGAAGAAAUCAAGAUGGCAAUCUUGGUUGGAGCUAUCUAGGAUGAGAGGACACAAACCCAGGAAGAAACACAGGGCACGGAGAUGCUCAAACUGCAAGGAAACUGGCCAUACGAAACCACAAUGUACACAACCAGUUGACUAGUUGUCCAGACGACCUAAAUUUAAGUCGUCCAGUCUUGAUUACCCGUCCAGACGACUAAAUUUUUAGUCGUCCAGUGUAUUUUAUUUUUAGACGACCUUCUACUAAGUCGUCCAGUGUAUUUUAUUUUUAGACGACCUUCUACUAAGUCGUCCAGUGUAUUUUAUUUUUAGACGACCUUCUACUAUCCCUUCAAGUGUAUUUUAUUUUUAGACUACCUUCUACUAUCCCUUCAAGUCGUCCAAACCUUCUAGACGACUUAUUUGUAAGUCGUCCAGUUGGAAAACCUUCCAGACGACUUAUAAUAAGUCGUCCAAACCUUCUAGACGACUUAUUUGUAAGUCGUCCAGUUGGAAAACCUUCCAGACGACUUAUUUCUUCCAGACAACUUAUAUAUUUACAAAUCUAUACAAAGACAAGCUGAAAUACAAAUACUUCGCUCGUUAAAAAAUCAUGUUCAAAUACAAAGACAAGUUCAAAUACAAACACAAAUCUAAUCAUACAUGCCCACGAACUUAUCACCAUCCACAUUUUCUUUCAGAUGCUGAUCAACAAGCUCCUUCCAUAUAUCCACCGCCAUAUUAUCCCUCAUUUUCUUCGCGUUGCACCUAGCAAAGUCUUUAGGGUCAAAGGAGACCCCAAGAGCAUGACAUUCAAUGUACUUUACAGCGUACACGCCACAAUCACCAUUGUUGGCCGUGGGUACACCUUUCAGCGGUCUCUCAUAUGUGUAUGGCUCCAACCCGUAUUUGACCCGUAUUUCGUCGGUGGCUGCGCACUCAACAAGCAGAUAAGGGACCAUCUGGAGAAAAGGCUCCAUUAUCGCAUCCCAUGCGUCUGGUACACUAGAUGAAGGUAUGCUGUCCCAGACGACUAUGUGCCUCUUAGGGAUCGAUAUCCAAAUAGCAACCCAAUGCUUGUCGUCCAAGUUCACUGGCGCAUAGAUAUCAUCAAUGUCCUCCCCCCACUUCUUGUUUGAUUGGCAAAAUGAAGGUAUUGAUCCGUCAUAAAAAUUCGACGCCCCACCAGGUAGAACUCUUCCUAAACCUUUGUGAUCAGGUUCCGAUGUUUUGAAGAGCUGAUACUGCUCUCUCCAAGACUGGGAAAAGUUGUGAUCCAGGAAGCACAUUCGCUCGCUCCUGAAAGCUUGUGGGUUCUCCUGAUACCUCUGCCUUAGCACAUUAAUCCAAGCAUCUAUAUGCUGCAUAUUAAAUAUAACAAGUUAGAAGUUACCAGACGACUUAAAUAUAAGUCGUCUACGUGGUCGUCCAAGUAGACGACUUUCCAGACGAUUUAUCUUUAAGUCGUCUGGAAAGUAGUCUACUUGGACGACUUUGUAGACGACUUAAAUCGUGUGCAGAAGACUUACGCAGUCUUCCAGCCAUCCUCUGGCUGUCCGGAGGAAGUGGUACCACCUUGUUGGUGAUGUACGUGGUUUGUCCUCGGUCUUAGUUAAAUAAUGACUGCAAACAAAAAAGCAAUCAGUUUUGGACGACUAAAUCAAGCUAUUAUGGGUAAAGCAAUCACUUACGGAUCAGUUUUCAACCAAUCAGCGAGUUCCUUCAACUUAUCUUUGUUUACUGGCGGAAAUGGAUUAUAGGCUGCCACUUUAUCUUUUUUUUUCUCUGCCGUAUAAGGAGAUCUCACAGUGGGAGCAGGUUUCUUCGCUCGUUUACUCUUUGCACGCUUGUCCAAUACAACCAGGCUCGGUUCUGAAACUGGAUCGCUUGGCUCGGUGGAAGCGAGGCUCGGUUGUUGAUCGGUGGAAGCGAGGCUCGGUUGGUGAUCGGUGGAAGUGACAGCAACAAUCUCUUUGGAGGUGACACCAUCUGCUUUAUCCUCCGGCAAGAUCUUAUUUACCGAGUUCGCCUCGGUUGCUGUAUCCUCCGGCAACCAUCUCUGCAAUAAAAGUUGCACACAAGUUAACCCUGGACGACUUAAAUAAAAGUUGUCUGGACGACUAGUUGACCCUGGACGACUUAAAAAUAAGUCGUCUGGACGACUAGUUGACCCUGGACGACUUAAAAUUAAGUCUUCCGUGGUCAACUAGUCGUCCAGACAACUUACGUUUAAGUCGUCCAGGGUCAACUAGUCGUCCAGACAACUUUUACAGUCGUCUGGACAACUAGUUAACCCUGGAUUUGAUACUAACCUCUUUGAUUUGAGGAGGCUGUUUCUUUUGAGGAGGAGGCUGUUUCUUUUGAGGAGGAGGAGGCUGCUGUUUGGUUUGAUGAGGAGGAGGCUGGUUACUAACCACGGUUUCAUUGGCAUGAGGGGUAGCCUGUUUGUUACUACCCCCGGUUUCUUUGGCAAGAGGGGUAGGCUGUUUAUCUUGAGGGGUAGCCUGAUUGGUUAGAGGUGGAGGGGUAGCCUGAUUGGUGACACCAACCUUCUUCUCCACAGCUUCCAAUCUAUCGGACAACUUCCUAAACUCCCUCAUGCACUUAUUAAACCCUUUUUUCAUGCAGUCAGCUACGCCCUUGAACAUAAUUUCCAACUCCUCUCUGGUCACCCCUCUAGCCUCUUCUCUAGCCUCUUCACUAGCCACUUUAGGAGCCUCUUUACGAGCUUUCUUCCGAGGUCUUGGAUUGUCUUCCUCCUCCUCCUCCUCCUCCUCCAACACAACCAUCUCUUUGGCCUUCUUCGAUGGAGUCACAACCUUAGGUUUUGUAUUGACCUUAGUACCAGUGACUUCCCAGCAAUCCAUGGUCCACUUCCACGGUCUCCGCUCAUACAUGACUUUAAUGAUGUUCUCCGCGGGCAGGUCCUCAACCUCAGAGUCCCAUUUUGGCCACAUUUCACUAAUGUCCUUCUCAACAAAGUUGAUCACGCGGGUCUGCAGUAAAUAGAAGAAUCGAGUUAGAUAUUUGAAAAAAAAUACUAAAUAGACGACUUAAUUAUAAGUCGUCUACUAAGUCGUCCAGCUGGAAGACCUUCCAGACGACUUAUAAUAAGUCGUCUAAUAAGUCGUCCAGAUGGAAGACUUUCCAGACGACUUAAUUAAGUCGUCCGAUAAGUCGUCCAGCUGGGAAGACUUUCCAGACGCCUUAUUAUAAGUCGUCUAAUAAGUCGUCCAGAUGGAAGACCUUCCAGACGACUUAUAAUAAGUCGUCUAAUAAGUCGUCCAGAUGGAAGACUUUCCAGACGACUUAAUUAAGUCGUCCGAUAAGUCGUCCAGCUGGGAAGACUUUCCAGACGCCUUAUUAUAAGUCGUCUAAUAAGUCGUCCAGAUGGAAGACUUUCCAGACGACUUAAUUAAGUCGUCCGAUAAGUCGUCCAGCUGGGAAGACUUUCCAGACGACUUAUUAUAAGUCGUCCGAUAAGUCGUCAAGCUGGACGACCUUCCAGACGACUUAUAAUAAGUCGUCUGCGCAGUCUUUUGGAUUGAAGUAAAUACCUGACUCAAGAUAGCAGCUUUCAUUGAUCUGCGGCCUCUGCUGCCCUCGUAAGCCAGUAUCGGUGGAGACGGACUGUCUGCUCUGGGACCACCAAUACUAGCACCCAAUUCCGGCAUAGCUGUGUACGUCCAGACUUGAAGAACUUGUAUAAACCCAUCCACAGUGUAACAGCCAGCAAUUUCUUUGUUCCACAAAGAGUCCAUCAGCACCUUAAACGCGACUCUCCCCCAUGGAUAAUUCUCAAACCGUUCUAAAUCCAUCACUAGCCUUGCCAGAGUAGAUCGUGUAGCGGUUGAAAACUUUCUCCCUUCAAUGAAUCCAGUGAAGAUGGAGAGGUACGCGAGCCGCUUGCGAUCUUCCCUGGACCAAUCCCCGCAUCUCUUCAGUGCUGCUAUUAUCUGAUCAGUAGUUGGCCCAGCUUCCAGAUGAACUCCCAGCAUCCCCCAGAAAGAAACCAUCUCUGGGGUAACGUCACAUUUUGGUGUCUCAAGGUCCUCGAUGUACUCGCAGUUUAGACCAGUGAGGUUUUCAAACUCUAACAGUGAAAACCUCAAAGGUUCUGGACCAACGAGAGACCACAUCUCAUACUUCUUCUUAAUGUCCAGCUUGAAACUGAGCAUGUAGUGAACCAGCCUUGAAGCCCAACCAAAUCCCUGCUCCUUGAACUUGAUGAAAACUCCCAAACUCGACUCCUUGAGCUCUUCAAAUUCGUCAUCAGUAAGAGCUUUCCUAAGAGCAGUAUGCAACUUGCUGUUAUCCGUAUGAUACGAAAUGCUAUUGUGGGCUUCUGGCUCUUCCCCUGAUGUGUAUAACCUACGGGGGAGUUCUGGAAUAUCCAUCCUUUUUGUCUGCAAAAUAAUCAAAGACAACAAUAUAAGUCCAGACGACUUAGUAGACGACUUAUAAUUAAGUCGUCUGGAAAGUCUUCCAAAUGGACGACUUAUAUUUAAGUCAUCUACUAAGUCGUCCAGUUGGAAGACUUUCCAGACGACUUAAAUUACUUACAAGUCUUCCAGUCGCAGAAGGAGUUGGAGUACUCGUCAUUGCGGUUAUAGAUCUGAAAAAAUAAACGUGAAACGGUGAGAAUGAGUAAAUUGAUAGAGACAACGUUUUAUGUUCAUCUUUUCCUCGAGAUUGAUGACUUAGCGGCGUUAGGGUUUACAGAGAAACGGCGCUAAGGUUUACAGAGAAGAAGCGGCGGCGCUAGGGUUUAGAAGAAGCGGCGGCGCUAGUGUUUAGAGGAAGCGGCGGUGAGAACGUUGGUGACCACGGUGGCGAGGGCGACGGUUUGUUCGGAAAUAGUGGAAGCGGCGGCGCUAGGGUUUAGAGGAAUCGGCGGCGCUAGGGUUAGAAGAAGCUGCGGCGACAACGGUGAGAAUGAAGUGAGAUAGAUAGCCGACGUUGAGAACGAUGGUUUGUUCGGAAAUCGUGGGAAUUCGAAAUCGCCUUUGAGAGAGAACUGUUAGGGUUUCUGAAUUUCGCGAAAAAUGAAACAAAAAAAAUAAAAAUCACCUUAUAUAUUGGGUAAAUAAUCCGGUUAGCUUUAAAAGUACAUUGGUAAACUUUAAGGUUUGGUCCGGUUUAGACGACUUAUUCUGGCUGAUAAUGUACAACAGACGACUUAAUAUUUAGUCGUCUGUUUUCAGACGACAAAAUAUUAAGUCGUCCUAGACCCUAAAAUGAACCCCUAAACUAAAAUGACUAGAUUAACUAACUAACCACGUUAUAAAAUCAAAUUAUACUUAAAUAGUGUUUACUAUACACAGAAAUGAACACGCAUAAGUAAUUUUAAAAAUUUUCAAAAACGGUUUUAAUGCUUUCCAAAAUCUAACCCUAAGAACACAUACAAUACUACAACAUAUGUUGAUGAAACAUAAACUAAAGAAUAUCAUGACUCACUACUUUCACUCAUCUAUGCUGAAAACAAUUGAAAUUUGUUAUAUCUUAAUUUAUACCUCCUAAGACAUAUGUUAAUUACAUAAUUCCCAUUUUUCACUUAUCAAAAUAUUUUUUACAAAAUUUUUAAAUUAUGUUUAAGACUAACUGUCCAGACGACUUUCAGUUAAGUCGUCUGGACGACUUAUUUUCAAGUCGUCUAAACAGACGACUUGCGAGGGGUAGAAACGUAAAAAAAAUUCCGUUUUUUUGUUUGGUCACAAGGGGAUAGUUGUAAUUUCAAUAGCCUUUUAGGUUACUUUUGCCUUUGACCCAAGUUGGGGUAUUGUUUUGGGUUUGACUCCAAGUUCUGAGUCACACUUGGCAAUUCUCCCUUAUAUUGAUGAUUAAUUAACUAUAUGACAAUAAUUAUUUUUAUACAUUUCUAAAAUUAAAUUAUUUGAUCAAAUUACGCUGUAGUCUACAGAAUAAGUCUAUACAGUAGACUUCUUAGGAGGUCUACAUAUAUGUAGACUUACUAAUGACAUAAUUGUAAAAUACAUUUCUGUUUUUUUGUUUGGUCAUAAGGGUUAAAUAGUAUUUUUUACUACUCCUUUAAGUUGAUUUUGCAUUUGACUGAAAAUGGGGUAUACUUUUAGGUUUGACAUGAAUAUUUGGGUUGGUUUUAGCAAUUCUCCCAGAGAUAAAUACAUUACUCAUUUAUUUUUUACUCCAUGCAAAAUAAAGGAAUAAACAAAAGAUAAAUGCAUGUCCUAUGCAAAAGUAACUCCAUUUUAAUUUCAUUAUAGAGUUGGAAAUUGAGUAGAGUUAAAAUAUUUCUUACUUCAAAUUAUGUUUAGAAAUGAUAAUAGAAUGAGGUUAUAGAUACUUUUAUUUGCUUUGUCUUGACGGUUUUUGCUUAGACUACUUACAAUGGACAUGUUGAAUAUUUUUUUAAACUGUUGAAUACUUAUCGUGAGCCUGUUGAAAAAGGUAAAAACAUUACGUGAAUUGUUUGCUGUUGAAUUUAUUCAACAUGUUGAAAGUCAAAAAAAUGGAGUCCACAACAAUUUUUGUUGUUUUUUUACUGGUUGUUGAUAUUAAUUAGAUUUUUCAUAUUCACCUUCUUUAUUAUAACUCAUUUAUUCCACAUCAAAUUUAUUUAUUUAUUUUUUUACAUUAUAUCAAAAUUUAUAAUUUUUAAUGAUCUGCACUAAAUCGAGACUAGUUUUAUAUGGCUUGGACAUAUACAAAAAAAAAUCUUUUAUCAUAAGUUUUAUACAUGUUCAGUCAAAUCUAUUAUAUUUUUAUUAAAUAUUUUAUAAAAUUUCAACUCUAACUAUUUUUAUUUAAUUUUAUUAAUUUUAUUUUUUUAAAAAAAUUGUUUAUGUUUUAAGUGUUAUUACUUAGUUACAAAAUCAAAAGAUGAAAUAGACAUAAAUAGAUAAGAUGCUGAUUUUUUUUAUAAAAAUCAUUAUGAAAUAUAAAUAUUAAAUGUAUACGUGGAAGAAAAAGAAGAUGAUGUGUUAAAGUAAAAGUAUAAAAUAUGGUGUUGAAUUUUUGAUAUUUUUGAUAGGCCUGAUAUUUAUUGGUAUUAGCUUUUUAUUUCUUUUGAUGUUUGUUCAGUUUCAGGAUUUCUCAUUUAUUUUGUUUAAAACUUUAAUCCUUACGGAUUCCAUCUAAAAUGGAUCCAAUGAAUUCAAUUUUAAAAAGGAACAACGUAAGAAAAUAUAUAAGGAAUGUUGAAAAUAAAAAGAAUACAAAAAAAUAAAAUAAGGUUGGUCAUUUUAUUUAAUUUUGUUUAAAUUUAACAAAAAUAACUGUAGGUGAUAUUAGUUUUUUUAAAAUAAAAAAAGAAUGUGGGGGGGGGGGGGGGUGUAUUCAAUUUAAAAUUUGAGAUAAUUUGAUUUUUAAUAAGGUUUUAGAUGAUUUCAAUGAAUUGCAGAGUUAAGGGUGAUUUUUGUUAAAUUAUUCUAGAAUAUUACCUAAAACUAUGAAAUUUAAGUUUUAAUUUUUUAACUAAAGAAUUAUAUCUAAAUAUUCUAAAAUCACUUAAAACUUUAAAAUUCUAUAACUUAAAAAUAUUUCAAUAAUAGUGAAUUCCAGAGUAUUUCGUACAAUGUUAAGUUCAAUAAGGAUAGAUUUUAUAUGAGUUUUUUAAAAAAUUGUUUGAACAGGAGUGGAUUUGUCAGUACAAAUCGCCUAAAACUUUGAAUUGAAUGUAGUAAAAAAAAAGAACUUGUCAAAAAGAUGAUAGUUUCACACUAAGACAUUAUUAGACACGAGACAAAACGACAAGAUUACUUUAGUCAGAAAGAGAAGAAAGAAACUGACCGGCGCUUCUUCUCCAUCUCAUGGUCCUACGCAGCCUUUUCCCCUUCUCUCUCUGAGACCACCACCACCACGAGGAUCAUCAUAUUUUUCUUCUUCUUCAUCAUCAUCAUCAUCUUUUCCUCUAAAUUAACUAAAAUUAUUUUCCUCUCUUUAGUUCCCAAUCCCUUUUCGCCUUUCUCUCGGCGUUUCCUCAAAUUUAUGCUAUCCGUUUUUUUCCUCUUCAAAUUGCUUUGUGUGUAGGUGAGAGAUCUUCUUUACCUUUCUUCUUAUCUUAUACCCUUUGAUCACGAAAGUUUUGCAGUUAGUAUUUCAUUAGUCUUUUGGUUUUAUUCUGAUUUCACCUUCCGAUCUAAUUUUUAGGGAUUUCAGAAGGGUUUAAGAGUUUCAAAAUGGAUCUAAGUUUGUGUCCUUUGUUUUUUCUUCCAUGUCCUAAUCAAAACUCUUGAAAAGGUUAACAAAAAAAAAUUUGCUUCUGAUUUAAUUGCAAUAGAAUGGGAUUACCCAUCACUGUCUUUUUAAGUAGUUUGGGAACAAUAUUUCCUCAAACUCGAGUUAUCUUCUCUUGUCAGAAACUAUCUUGUUCGACU
rnacentral:lncRNA from 1 species